rnacentral:lncRNA from 1 species
UUUUGGAUGGCGGAAUUAUUAUUACACAUAGUGUAACUAAGGAUUUAAGUGUCAUACGAGAUUGUACUGCAAAUUUAUCGACACGGUACAAUAUGAUGCGUGCUGAAUAGUGUUAAUGUGUGCCGGUUUUUGGCCAUUAGAUUAAGAAAUGUGUGGUUAGGAUGAUGUGGACCUUCUAGGGUUGAGUGGGUGGUUGGUUGAAUAGUAUGAUCUAACGAGUGAAAAUGAUUAAAAGAGUAGAUCUAACGGCGGAAAACUUGGUAGCACCAAGUGUUUCGUGCUAUUAAUAGCAUAGUAACCGGACUCUAUAUAUAUGGCAUGAAAUAUUUAUUUUCUUUAACAAUAAUAUACUCUAAUUGCCUAUUAUGUAUUUUUAUUAAAUCUUUUAAAUUUUAUUGAAAAAAUUACUGAUUAAUUUAAAGAAUAUAGAGCUUUAAGUUGUGCCAUUGAUAUGACAAUUGUAUCGUGUCGAUAUUUUGUUGACACGAUGCAGUACGAUGGAUACGAGCUGAUGGGUGAUAUGAAAGUGAUCUAAUAGUAUAUUAUCGCAAUCUUUUGUUUGAAAGAGA